rnacentral:rRNA from 1 species
GGCCGCGGGAAUUCGAUUCAGGCCUAACACAUGCAAGUCGAACGGGAUCCUUGGCAGCUUGCUGCCGGGGUGAGAGUGGCGAACGGGUGAGUAAUGCGUGACCGACCUGCCCCAUGCACCGGAAUAGCUCCUGGAAACGGGUGGUAAUGCCGGAUGUUCCACAUGAGCGCAUGCGAGUGUGGGAAAGGCUUUUUGCGGCAUGGGAUGGGGUCGCGUCCUAUCAGCUUGUUGGUGGGGUAACGGCCUACCAAGGCGUUGACGGGUAGCCGGCCUGAGAGGGCGACCGGCCACAUUGGGACUGAGAUACGGCCCAGACUCCUACGGGAGGCAGCAGUGGGGAAUAUUGCACAAUGGGCGCAAGCAAGAUGCAGCGACGCCGCGUGCGGGAUGGAGGCCUUCGGGUAGUGGACCGCUUUUGUUCAAGGGCAAGGCACGGUUUCGGCCGUGUUGAGUGGAUG